UCAGCGUUCAAUAUCCGCGUUAAAGCGGGGGCGACGUUAGCGGCCGCCGAUGGACAUCACGUCAUCAACGUGGAUUGUACAGACAGCGUCAACACCGUCAAUUACACGUUCACACAGCCAGCCUGUAUUAAUACGCCGCCGACUUUUGUCUCCGGCAUGCCCGGAAGUUCUGCGAGCAUCUCUGACGCCACUGUCACACAGACGUUGCUCGGGAAAUUCACAACUACAGACCCUGAUACAACUUGCUCUGUGACGUCACCCGUAGCCUCUGCGUAUGAGGUCAGAAAAGUGACGUCACCGGCGAAUUCUCAACAACCUGAGUUUGAAGUUUGGAUCAAAAUCACCGUUACUCAAGCAUCUAUCGACUUCAACGACCAGACCGUUCCGUUGCCGUUAACGAUAAAAUGUACUGACGGAUACGUCGCGAAUGAUAUCACGGGAACGUUUAACGUCAAUAUUGUC